GCUGAAUGAAACCAAUAUUUGUC
rnacentral:snRNA from 1 species